GAUGAACGCUGGCGGCGUGCCUAAUACAUGCAAGUCGAGCGAACGGACGAGAAGCUUGCUUCUCUGAUGUUAGCGGCGGACGGGUGAGUAACACGUGGAUAACCUACCUAUAAGACUGGGAUAACUUCGGGAAACCGGAGCUAAUACCGGAUAAUAUUUUGAACCGCAUGGUUCAAAAGUGAAAGACGGUCUUGCUGUCACUUAUAGAUGGAUCCGCGCUGCAUUAGCUAGUUGGUAAGGUAACGGCUUACCAAGGCAACGAUGCAUAGCCGACCUGAGAGGGUGAUCGGCCACACUGGAACUGAGACACGGUCUAGACUCCUACGGGAGGCAGCAGUAGGGAAUCUUCCGCAAAGGGCGAAAGCCUGACGGAGCAACGCCGCGUGAGUGAUGAAGGUCUUCGGAUCGUAAAACUCUGUUAUUAGGGAAGAACAUAUGUGUAAGUAACUGUGCACAUCUUGACGGUACCUAAUCAGAAAGCCACGGCUAACUACGUG
rnacentral:rRNA from 1 species